AUGUCGGCUCACUUACUCAUGCUCUUUCUCCUCUUCAUCAUCCCCAUGUUCAAGUGCACCUACGCCUUUGGUGAUUUUGGUGAGCAUGGCUUCAACUACGACACCGGCAUCCCUGUGCGCAUGUUUCAGCUUAAUGGUGUGGCUUCUGUCACAAGCGGGGCACUUAUGCUAACCAACAAUGAUCCACAGAAGAGCGGGCAGGCUUUCUCUAGGCGUCCAUUUGGCUCUAUUACCUCAUUCUCAACCACCUUUGUGUUUCUCAUCAUGCCCCCGGAAAGCAACCACAGGGUGAGUGCGCAUGGGCUUGCCUUUGCGCUUUCAUCCACGAUGGACUUUGUGUUCGAUGCCCUCCCGGGUCCGUACCUGGGCCUGACCAACAUGGAAAGCAACGGUAAUGGCACAAACCAACUCUUUGCUGUUGAGCUUGAUACAAUUAAGAAUCCCCAAUUUGCUGAUAUUGAUGACAACCACAUUCGAAUCGAUGUGAAUGACAUGGAGUCCAUUGAUUCCCACACGGCUGGUUACUACACCUCAAAUGGUAUGUUCUCUCCAUUGAAGCUUGCGAGUGGUAAACCGAUGCAAGUGUGGGUGGACUAUGAUGGCAUCUCGCACAACAUUAAUGUCAGUUUGGCACCUUAUUUAGAGCUCAAGCCGCAACGUCCAUUGUUGUUAAGCAGUGUUAAUCUUACGUCUGUGUUGGCAAACAACUCAUUCUAUGCUGGGUUUUCAUCUUCAACGGGCCUCCUUAAGUCAAGGCACUACAUUAUUGGAUGGAGUUUCAACACAACUGGGAAGGCUCAUCCACUUAACUACACAUCCCUGUCUCAGAUUAUAGAAGAAGUUAGACAGAAAACACAAAACCGCUCACGUAUUCCCCGAGCCAUUUUUGUACCAGUUGUCAAGGAACUAGACUAUACUGAUAAAUUAAGCAUAUUCAAAACUAAUUUACCACUGAGCUUUCAAAGUCUUCAGACAAUCAAACACCAAAAUUUAAACCCGAUGAGCGAUGGCUAG
rnacentral:rRNA from 1 species